UAGGGAAUAUUGGACAAUGGGCGCAAGCCUGAUCCAGCCAUGCCGCGUGAGUGAAGAAGGCCCUCGGGUUGUAAAGCUCUUUUGUCCGGAAAGAAAAGCAUCGGGUUAAUACCCCGGUGUUCUGACGGUACCGGAAGAAUAAGCACCGGCUAACUUCGUGCCAGCAGCCGCGGUAAUACGAAGGGGGCUAGCGUUGCUCGGAAUUACUGGGCGUAAAGCGCACGUAGGCGGACUCUUAAGUCGGUGGUGAAAUCCUGGAGCUCAACUCCAGAAAUGCCUUCGAUACUGGGAGUCUUGAGUUCGGGAGAGGUGAGUGGAACUGCGAGUGUAGAGGUGAAAUUCGUAGAUAUUCGCAAGAACACCAGUGGCGAAGGCGGCUCACUGGCCCGAUACUGACGCUGAGGUGCGAAAGCGUGGGGAGCAAACA
rnacentral:rRNA from 1 species